AGUCGAGCGGGCGUAGCAGUACGUCAGCGGCAGACGGGUGAGUAACGCGUGGGAACAUACCUUUUGGUUCGGAACAACACAGGGAAACUUGUGCUAAUACCGAAUAAGCCCUUACGGGGAAAGAUUUAUCGCCGAAAGAUUGGCCCGCGUCUGAUUAGCUUGUUGGUGAGGUAACGGCUCACCAAGGCGACGAUCAGUAGCUGGUCUGAGAGGAUGAUCAGCCACAUUGGGACUGAGACACGGCCCAAACUCCUACGGGAGGCAGCAGUGGGGAAUAUUGGACAAUGGGCGCAAGCCUGAUCCAGCCAUGCCGCGUGAGUGAUGAAGGCCCUAGGGUUGUAAAGCUCUUUUGUGCGGGAAGAUAAUGACGGUACCGCAAGAAUAAGCCCCGGCUAACUUCGUGCCAGCAGCCGCGGUAAUACGAAGGGGGCUAGCGUAGCUCGGAAUCACUGGGCGUAAAGGGUGCGUAGGCGGGUCUUUAAGUCAGAGGUGAAAGCCUGGAGCUCAACUCCAGAACUGCCUUUGAUACUGAGGAUCUCGAGUUCGGGAGAGGUGAGUGGAACUGCGAGUGUAGAGGUGAAAUUCGUAGAUAUUCGCAAGAACACCAGUGGCGAAGGCGGCUCACUGGCCCGAUACUGACGCUGAGGCAC
rnacentral:rRNA from 1 species